rnacentral:snRNA from 1 species
AUACUUCCCUGCUGCCGGGGACUCGUUGAUCCCCGACGACGAGUCCCCAGGGCGAGGCGCGGGCAUUGCACUGCGCUCGUGUUGAACCCUGCCACUACCCCAAACUGUGGCAGAUGGGGCAUGAAAAUUGCGGUUC